rnacentral:misc_RNA from 1 species
AAACCAUCAAGCCCAGCUUGGUAUUGGACGCGGUCGAGUGACCCGUCCGUAACCCGUUGGCGGUGCAGUCCGGCUUCGAGCGUAGCAGAAACCUCGCUUCAGGAGUCCGUGCGGCGCCCGCCAGGAAAUGGCCACCUUUUAAA